AAGUCGAGCGAUCUUCUUCGGAAGAGAGCGGCGGACGGGUGAGUAACGCGUGGGUAACCUGCCCUGUACACACGGAUAACAUACCGAAAGGUAUGCUAAUACGGGAUAACAUAAGAAAGUCGCAUGGCUUUCUUAUCAAAGCUUUUGCGGUACAGGAUGGACCCGCGUCUGAUUAGCUAGUUGGUAAGGUAACGGCUUACCAAGGCGACGAUCAGUAGCCGACCUGAGAGGGUGAUCGGCCACAUUGGAACUGAGACGCGGUCCAAACUCCUACGGGAGGCAGCAGUGGGGAAUAUUGCACAAUGGGCGAAAGCCUGAUGCAGCAACGCCGCGUGAGCGAUGAAGGCCUUCGGGUCGUAAAGCUCUGUCCUCAAGGAAGAUAAUGACGGUACUUGAGGAGGAAGCCCCGGCUAACUACGUGCCAGCAGCCGCGGUAAUACGUAGGGGGCUAGCGUUAUCCGGAAUUACUGGGCGUAAAGGGUGCGUAGGCGGUCUUUCAAGUCAGAAGUGAAAGGCUACGGCUCAACCGUAGUAAGCUUUUGAAACUGUAAGACUUGAGUGCAGGAGAGGAGAGUGGAAUUCCUAGUGUAGCGGUGAAAUGCGUAGAUAUUAGGAGGAACACCAGUUGCGAAGGCGGCUCUCUGGACUGUAACUGACGCUGAGGCACGAAAGCGUGGGGAGCAAACAGG
rnacentral:rRNA from 1 species